AUUGAACGCUGGCGGCAUGCUUUACACAUGCAAGUCGAACGGUAACAGGCCGCAAGGUGCUGACGAGUGGCGAACGGGUGAGUAAUGCAUCGGAACGUGCCCAGUCGUGGGGGAUAACGCAGCGAAAGCUGUGCUAAUACCGCAUACGAUCUAUGGAUGAAAGCGGGGGACCGUAAGGCCUCGCGCGAUUGGAGCGGCCGAUGUCAGAGUAGGUAGUUGGUGGGGUAAAGGCUCACCAAGCCAACGAUCUGUAGCUGGUCUGAGAGGACGACCAGCCACACUGGGACUGAGACACGGCCCAGACUCCUACGGGAGGCAGCAGUGGGGAAUUUUGGACAAUGGGCGCAAGCCUGAUCCAGCAAUGCCGCGUGCAGGAAGAAGGCCUUCGGGUUGUAAACUGCUUUUGUACGGAACGAAAAGGUUUGGGUUAAUACCCUGGGCCGAUGACGGUACCGUGAGAAUAAGCACCGGCUAACUACGUGCCAGCAGCCGCUGUAA
rnacentral:rRNA from 1 species